rnacentral:rRNA from 1 species
AUAUCACUAAGCGGAGGAAAAGAAACUAACCAGGAUUCCCCUAGUAACGGCGAGUGAAGAGGGAAAAGCCCAGCACCGAAGCCUGUGGCAGCUUUGCUACUAGGCAAUGUGGUGUUUAGGUCGGCUCGCGGGAUCGCCACUCCACUCCAAGUCCAGCCUUGAUUAUGGUUGCCAGGAAUUGGCCCAUAGCGGGUGAUAGGCCCGUAGGGGUGGAGGUAUCAGAUAUGUAAGGCGAUUCACCAGGCCGGCCUUAGAGUCGGGUUGUUUGCGAAUGCAGCCCAAAGYGGGUGGUAAACUCCAUCCAAGGCUAAAUACUGGCACGAGUCCGAUAGCGAACAAGUACCGUGAGGGAAAGUUGAAAAGUACUUUGAAGAGAGAGUAAACAGUACGUGAAACCGCAUAGAGGUAAACGGGUGGCGUCAAGCUGCAAGCCCGGAGAAUUCAGUCGGUCAGGGUGUUGUGUCUGCGCCCAGCGCAGCUAUCAGUCGGUGUGCUCGGGCUAGUCCGCCGGUAAAUGGCGGGCCCAGCUGUCACAGGCUGGGAUUUGCCUUCCGAGUGUUAGUCGGAGCAAGCUAGUCGUCCGUGGGACUGCCUGGCCGAUGCACUUUCUCUGUGGUGUACACCACGACCGGUGGAACUGCCAGUCUACCUUAGCCAGCUUCGUGGCUCGCUCUUGGCCUCUUCUCGGGGCUGGAACGAGUGGCGAUCACAGGCAACUUCAGUGCACGGUGCUUGCGGGUUUUCGCUCGUAGGCAUGCUAUCGGGAACUGGUUGUCAACGAGUCUGUUUGGCCCGGACACUGUCCUGUAGUCGCAGUGUGCAUUCUGGGUGACUCGGUGGGCUAUGGCGGCAGGAGAAGCUGUGCAGGGCACCGGAGAUGUCGGUCUGUAUAUACGACGGCCGCACACGCACUACAGCUUGGCGUGUGCCAUGCAGGGCACUGAUAGCGUUGCCAGGGUCUGCCAACGCUCGGGUCUGAUCAUCGUGUCGCCCGUCAAAAUGACGGGUCCGGUGGUGGCUUGGGCUUGGAUGGUGCCUGUGGGCAGCGUGGUCACAGUGCGGCCGUAUUGAGAGACCAGAUAGUCAGUGGUGUAGUGGUAGACGAGCUACCCGACCCGUCUUGAAACACGGACCAAGAAGUUCAACAUGCGCGCGAGUCAAGGGGUCGUACGAAACCCAAAGGCGCAAUGAAAGUGAAGCCUUGCUUGCUUGCUUUCUCCCCAUCGCUAUCUCUGUGUAGUGUUGGUGGCGGCGGCAGCGGCUUGGUGUGGUGAGAUCCCGCUGUUUCUCGCAUGUAUUUGUCACUUGUGACGAGGACUGGCAGCUGGGGCUAGCUAUGUUGUCUCGCACAACACAUCUAGACGAGCAGUGGGCGCAUCACCGGCCCGUCCCAUGAUGUGGCUAUUGGUUCAGUGCAGUGGUUGGGCAACCGAUCGUCUGUCUGGCCGGUACGUCAUCGGGGCGGAGCAUGAGCGCGCAUGUUGAGACCCGAAAGAUGGUGAACUAUGCUUGCGUAGGUUGAAGCCAGAGGAAACUCUGGUGGAGGACCGCAGCGAUUCUGACGUGCAAAUCGAUCGUCAAACGUGAGCAUAGGGGCGAAAGACUAAUCGAACCAUCUAGUAGCUGGUUCCCUC